AUGAAAAAUUGAGAGACAUAAUAGAAGAUUUGAAGGAGUAUAAUAUUAACUUUGAUAAUUAAAAUUGCAUCUUCUUUCUCACGAAUACGCACAAUAGCCAUUGUUUAGAGCAUCCGCAAUGGCGCCCGUCGGGGCAGAAUUCCCACCGGCGUGCGCCAUUGUGCAUGCUCGCAACGGAUACGGAAUUCCCCUGAGGACAUCGCAGGUCCGCGGCGUUAAGCGGAAUUCCGCGGGGAAUUCCGCCAUUGCGUCGACUCCCGCGGAACCGGUUGAGCACGUUGAUACGAAUUGGCAAUAGAUUUAUAUUAUUUAUACAUAUAUUAGUUCAAUUCCGACUCAUGCAUAUACUCUAGCACAAAUUACCAAUGGCCAUUAAAAUUUUGGAGCUCCGCAAUCACUCCCACUUUUACACCGCCCUCCCACCGAGACUCUCUAUUUCUACCACACUCAAAACUCGAAAUCUUAUUUUUUGGUGAUCAUUGUCCCAAUGCUCAUAAAAUCCCUAUCCAUUGCCCUCAAGUACUACCUCCCAUUCACAUCCAACGUCAUUUUCCCUCUUACCUCCGCUGCUAUGCCCGAUUCCGUCACACUCACAAUCGCCACAUCCGAUGCCGACUUUUCACAAACUAACCGCCAACCAUUCCAAAUAUAUAUACGGAUUAAUUUCGUCUAUUCGUCCCUCUAAUGCCAACGCCGGUAUACUCGUCCGAAGAAGUCAAAUUCAAGGCCUCCACUAUUCAGGUGACCUUGUUUCCGAGCAACGGAAUCUGCAUCGGCAUCACAAACCACCACGCCAUAGUCGACGCCGCUAGCCUCUUCUCCUUCCACGGCAAAUGGGCAUCGAUCCACCAAUCCAACGGUUCCGGAGAAUAUUCCGCCCACGAUUCCCUCCCUUUCUACGGCCGAGAUUCUGUUCAAGAAUCCGACAAACUCUCCCCCUUUGUUUGGGAGCAAGUGAAGACAAGCGUCCCCAUUCCCCCCCCCCCCCCCCCCCAUCAAACAAUGUCCGAUCCACUUUCCUCCUAACCGAUGGACAAAUCAAGAAACUCAAGCACGGCCGCCGCGGAACGUCGACUUUCGUGGCGGUCUGCGCCCAUAUCUGGAUCUGCCUAGCCUCCUCCGCGGCCGCAGCCGGGGAGGUGGUGCAAGACGACGUGCCGGAGUACCUAACCUCUCCGGUGAACUGCCGGCGGCGGCUCAACCCGCCGCUGCCGGAGAAUUACUUCGGAAACUGCUUGGCCUUUAUGCGGGCGAGUUGCAGCCACGGGAGGCUGAAGGGGGAAGGGGGGUUUUGCGGCAGCGGUCAAGGAGGCUGUCGGGAACGGGAUUUUGGAUGGAUUCAGGAAGAAACGAGAGAGUUAUUUGGAGUGGAUAAGUCGGAAUCGGGUGAUUCCGAUAUCGGGAUCGCCGAGGUUUGAUCCAAGCGGUGCGGAUUACGGAUGGGGAAAAGCGGUUAAGUAUGAAUGUGUUAAUAUGAAUAAUCAUGAUGGAGCGGUUGAUCUUAGUAAGGGAAGAGAUGGAGGAGUCGCCACUGCAUUGGUUACGACUAACCCUAAAAUGGAUGCUUUUACAGCUAUCUUCAACAGAAAUUUAUGCAUCAAUAGCAACCUCUGAUUUCGUAUGUUGCUCUAUUUCAUUUCAGAUUCUCAUAAUUCUAUUUCA